GAAAAGUAUGUCACAGCAAUCGACAAAACAAAUUGGGGGGUGAAAUCUGGAUUGCCGAAAAGUAUUGGGAACGAAACAAGAAAUAAAAGAAAAUAAAAGGGCUGAGUCAGAAUUAUAAAAGUCAAAGCCACCUUCCUAACUAGUGUCUGUAUCUAACAAAUACGCGACGACGACGAAGAAAGACAAACACGAAGAGAAGAAGAGAAUCAAUCUCACACGAAAUUACACAAUAAUAAUAAUAAUUAUUUAAAGAUUUAUAAAUUAAACUCCAAAGCUUCUCUGUAACGACUCUCUUCUUCAAUGCUAAUCAUUUAGAUCUUGAAAGAGAACCAAAAACCAAUGGCGGCUAAAUCGAAGAACAACCUUCGCUACCAACCGCGAAAAUCAGCAUCGAGAUCGACCCAAGCCUUCACGGUGCUCAUCGGUCUUCUCGUGGUGAUUAUGAUUCUUCUAGGUCUGGGGAUCUUGUCACUUCCCAAUGCCAACAGAAACUCUUCAAAGCCCAACGAUUUGACCAACAUUGUACGGAAGAGCCAGGAGGAGAGGAAUGGAGGAGAUGAGGAAGGGAACGGUGAGCGUUGGGUUGAAGUGAUAUCGUGGGAGCCUAGAGCUGUUGUUUACCACAAUUUCUUGACCAAUGAUGAAUGUGAGCACCUGAUCAGUCUCGCUAAACCCAACAUGGUUAAGUCAACUGUGGUUGAUGAGAAAACCGGUGGCAGCAAAGAUAGCAGAGUAAGGACGAGCUCUGGAACUUUUCUCAAAAGAGGACAUGACGAAGUUGUCGAGAGGAUUGAGCAAAGGAUUUCAGAUUUCACCUUCAUUCCUGUUGAAAAUGGAGAAGGUCUUCAGGUUCUUCACUACCAAGUUGGGCAGAAGUAUGAGCCUCACUAUGAUUAUUUCUUAGAUGAGUUCAACACCAAGAAUGGAGGGCAACGAAUAGCCACUGUUCUUAUGUACCUCUCUGAUGUUGAUGAUGGUGGCGAGACCGUGUUCCCAGCAGCAAAAGGAAACAUUAGUGCAGUCCCAUGGUGGAACCAGCUCUCGGAAUGUGGCAAAGAAGGACUCUCUGUUCUACCAAAGAAGCGAGAUGCUUUACUUUUCUGGAACAUGAGACCUGAUGCCUCUCUAGACCCUUCCAGUUUGCACGGUGAAGAGAUUCAACAACCAAAAACUCUUUUUUUUUCUUUCAGUGAGAAUAAUAUUAAUGUCUCUAAAUUUCUAUAUCGUCUGCUUUGAUUUUCAGGUGGAUGUCCAGUGGUGAAAGGAAACAAAUGGUCAUCCACGAAAUGGUUCCACGUCCACGAGUUCAAGGUUUGAGAAAACUAAGAUAAGAGGAGGUUUACACGACAGCACAAGUUUGUGUGGAUACAGUUACGAACAGAUGUAUUGUUGUAUUUCCCUUUUGAAGUGAGAAAUGAUCCUUAGGAAAUUGAAGGCUGUGUUUUAUGAUAUCAUGAGCGAUAUUUGAACUUUUUCUUUUAACUAUUUGAGAUUUUUUGUAACUUUACAUGUUCUGUCUGAGUUUUUAUGACUUCAAUGAUUUAAUACAACCACACACUGUUUUAAUA